GCAUUAAUGGGGUAGUGGUAACCUGGGUCGUUGCCAUGGGCGUGAAUGUGUAAUCGACGUCGACCCGCCGGGAGUUCGAUUCUCUCUUAAUGCA